rnacentral:rRNA from 1 species
UACGAAGGGGGCUAGCGUUGUUCGGAUUUACUGGGCGUAAAGCGCACGUAGGCGGAUCGUUAAGUCAGGGGUGAAAUCCCGGAGCUCAACUCCGGAACUGCCUUUGAUACUGGCGAUCUUGAGGCUGGAAGAGGUUAGUGGAAUUCCCAGUGUAGAGGUGAAAUUCGUAGAUAUAUGGAGGAACACCAGUGGCGAAGGCGACUUUCUGGUCUGUAACUGACACUGAGGCGCGAAAGCGUGGGGAGCAAACAGG